AUAAUACUCCAUAGAUUAGAGAUACUGGAAUGUUCUUUAGUCAAAAGUUCUGGCGCCUUAGGAUGGAUCUGCGGUCGAUUAGGUUGUUGUUGGGGUAACGGCCCAACAAGCCUGUAAUCGAUACGGGUUGUGGGAGCAAUAGCCCGGAGAUGGAAUCUGAGACAAGAUUCCAGGCCCUACGGGGCGCAGCAGGCGCGAAAACUUUACAAUGCAGGAAACUGUGAUAAAGGAACCCCGAGUGCCCGUAUACGCGGGCUGUCCAGGUGUUUAAAAGUCAUCUGAAGAAAGGGCCGGGCAAGACCGGUGCCAGCCGCCGCGGUAAUACCGGCGGCUCGAGUGGUGGCCACUAUUAUUGGGCUUAAAGCGUCCGUAGCUGGACUGAUAAGUCUCUUGGGAAAUCCGCCGGCUCAACCGGCGGGCGUCUAAGGGAUACUGUUGGUCUAGGGACCGGGAGAGGUGAGAGGUACUCCGGGGGUAGGAGUGAAAUCCUGUAAUCCCCGGGGGACCACCGAUGGCGAAGGCAUCUCACCAGAACGGCUCCGACAGUGAGGGACGAAAGCUGGGGGAGCAAACCGGAUUAGAUACCCGGGUAGUCCCAGCCGUAAACUAUGCGCGUUAGGUGU
rnacentral:rRNA from 1 species